ACGAACGCUGGCGGCGUGCUUAACACAUGCAAGUCGAACGCUGAAGCUUGGUGCUUGCACUGGGUGGAUGAGUGGCGAACGGGUGAGUAAUACGUGAGUAACCUGCCCUUGACUCUGGGAUAAGCCUGGGAAACUGGGUCUAAUACUGGAUACGACAUGCCACUGCAUGGUGGUGUGUGGAAAGGGUUUUACUGGUUUUGGAUGGGCUCACGGCCUAUCAGCUUGUUGGUGGGGUAAUGGCCUACCAAGGCGACGACGGGUAGCCGGCCUGAGAGGGUGACCGGCCACACUGGGACUGAGACACGGCCCAGACUCCUACGGGAGGCAGCAGUGGGGAAUAUUGCACAAUGGGCGGAAGCCUGAUGCAGCGACGCCGCGUGAGGGAUGACGGCCUUCGGGUUGUAAACCUCUUUCAGCACGGAAGAAGCGAGAGUGACGGUACGUGCAGAAGAAGCGCCGGCUAACUACGU
rnacentral:rRNA from 1 species